UAAAUCGCUUUUUACACAAAGGCUUAGUUUAAAAGUCGCCGACAGUUGAAAUCGAGUGGGAGUGUGAUUUUUGUCGCCGGGAUUUCUUUUUGAUUUUCAGCGUCGUGAUGUUUGGGUUGGUAAGAAAAAUGCCCAGGAAGUUCAAUGGCAACAGUAUUUAUCGCUUCUUUAAUCAGUUAUUCUCGUCCAAUAUAAAAGAACAGACUUAACGGCAGUUCAGCACUCUGAUUUUCAUCCCUUGAAGCUCUUUGAAGCAGCAUAUCGAAAUACCUCAUAAUGAAAGCAUGCAUAUUGUUUCUGCUGUCUGCAGUCCUUGUGUCUCUUAAGUCUGUUCGAUGCAACAGAGGACAUCGCAGAGGGGCUGUAGUUGUAAUACCUAGGCGUGUUGCUUACAUGGCCAGGCCUAUGGUUCCUGCACCGGUGGUUGUGAACGUACCAGUGCCUAUCCCGGUGCCUGCAGCUCCCCAGCCUGCACCACCCCCUCCUCCCGCACCGCGACCUCUGCCAGCACCACCUCCGCGACGUCCAAUUCCUAGACCACCAGGUUAAGGGAGGAAGAAGAAUCCCAGAACUUCAACUCUGACGUUCCAGAAUAAGUACAAGAAAAGCAGCCGUCCUUUCUGACUGAGGAUCAAGCCUGUUUUGCCAGUUCCUUCAAUUUGACCUAAUCUGUGAUUCAUUGAAAUUAUCAGUUUUAGAAGUUUUUACAUCUUCUCUUGUACUGUUUUACAUAUACUAUAAAUAAAGUUCAA